AGAAUUUUUCUCAAUGGGGGAAACCCUGAAGGAGCGACGCCGCGUGGAGGAUGAAGGUCUUCGGAUUGUAAACUCCUGUCAUUGGUGAACAAGGCCAGUGGUUAACUGCCAUAUGGUUUGAUAGUAGCCGAAGAGGAAGAGACGGCUAACUCUGUGCCAGCAGCCGCGGUAAUACAGAGGUCUCAAGCGUUGUUCGGACUCAUUGGGCGAAAAGGGUGCGUAGGCGGCGAGGCAAGUCUGGUGUGAAAUCCCGGGGCUCAACCCCGGAACUGCACUGGAUACUGCUUUGCUAGAGUACUGGAGAGGGAACUGGAAUUUACGGUGUAGCAGUGAAAUGCGUAGAUAUCGUAAGGAAGACCAGCGGCGAAGGCGAGUUCCUGGACAGUUACUGACGCUGAGGCACGAAGGCCAGGGGAGC
rnacentral:rRNA from 1 species